GGGGUGAUAGUGGCUCAGGAGGUAGAGCAGUCGACUGGGGAUUGGAAGGUCCCUGGUUUGAAUCUGGCUCCUCCUG
rnacentral:tRNA from 1 species